CCUUGUUAACAAGGGGCAGGUACUAUAGUCCCAUCUUUCCGCUUCCUACGCCCCUGGUUUGAGUAGUUGCAUUAAAGCAAAACAUGAACUGAAAACAUGGUUGUAUUUAGAGUUUGAAGUUAGAAGUUUGAGUUAAUUGAUCAUUUUGGAAAAUGUAUUUUCCCAAGAAACUACGGUUGAAAAUAAAUAAAUUGUUCAACAUUAUCAGACAACUAAUGUAAAUAUGAUAUUGCAUAAAUACUUUCAUAGUUCUAUUCCAAAUGCAGAACCUCAAAUAUAGAUCUUAAACCGUUCACUUGAAAAAUUACAUCUAAACUACUAAAGCUACCGUACAAUGCUGGCUGCACAAGUAGUCUAGAUCGCUAUUAUAUGAGUGAAUUUAUGAAUUCAGUAGAUACAAUUAAUCUCUUCGAGUUACGGAAUUUUUAAAGAUGUUAUCGCUGAUGUCAACAUUAUUUUCAACGGAUGUUGUACAUUUGUCAAACAAUUUAGUUUUAAAAUGCCCACUUGCAAUUGGUUAGGGUUAUUAAGAACUAUUUGGGUUAAAAUUCAUCUAUCAGUUUUCAGUGAUUGUUUUCAGCCUUGUCCAGAAUUGCGUCCAGAUAUCUGACCAAAUUUGAAAGUUUCCAACAAAUUUACAUUUGGUCGUGCUUUUCCGGACAAUUUCGACCGUUAUUUCAGGCUCUGCAGAACAAUCUUUUCAUUCAUAGUUAUUGUGCUUUUUCAGUAAUUUAUAAUAACGGAAAAUGUUCAAUUCGUGAUGAACUUUGAAUUAUGUUAUAUCUUACUUGUAUUUAAAUUUGCGCCGUAUUAGAAUUCGCGCAGAACGUAUAACUGCGCGAAAUUGAAACUCACCGCGAAAAAUUUAACCGAGCGAAACUGUUUGCCGCUGUUUACAUAUAUACAGAAAAUUAAUUUGCGUGAAAAUGUUUGCCAGCGUAACACCAAAUACUGAAAAUUAGACUGGUGAAAAUUAUGUGUACUAAUUAUUAGUCAUUUAUAGAUUUUUUACAGUUACAUCAAGAAACUGUAACUUACGAAUGUAAUUUUCUAGUUUUGAAAUGUUUCAAGUUUGCCAAAAUAAAAGCUGUGAUAAAAUGUCGCAUUUCUCGGAUGCGCAAAUUGUAUCGGAUGAGUUGAGACUGAGCGAAAAUUUGUAUUACACGAAUUUAAAUACACGUAAUUAGGUAAUUAUAGGUAUAAUUAUAUAUCAUGUAAAUAUUUUACUACGCGCGCGAGUCCGGGGCCGUUUGUUCGAAAAUCAUUAGCGCUAAUCGUUGGUUAAUAUUUAACUCCUCAUUUUGGUUCAGAUAUUACCUGUACUUCGUAAACAAGCUGAUAGGAAGGCUGCUCACCUGAAAUUGAAGUAUUUUGUUAACCUUGGAUAAAGCUAACUGACUUUCGACCGACCGAUCGACCCUAAUUUAUAUAAAGCGCAAUGGUUUCUACAUAGUAGGCUCCAGACCUAUUAUAUACCACUUUAUUAUGUAAAUAUAAUGUUUUAUUACCAUUGAUGUAAUUGUGACUUGAAUUCAAUUGAAAUUACAAUCGUGUUAAAAU
rnacentral:lncRNA from 1 species